CACUGUGCCUGCCCCAAAUACGAUUGAUGGUGUGGAAUUACAUCUUAGAGGUCACCUGAUGCAACAGUCUUGUUUAGAAUGAAUUGGAUGGAAGCUGAAGGGAUCCUGCUGGAAGAUCCCCUGGGGAAUCAGCUUCUCAACUUGAGACCAGCUACUGUCGUAAAACACAUAGACAGACAGAUAUAAACUGUUAUCUCUUCUGGCUUUAUAAUAUUUUUGCCAUGUUCUCCCAUCCUCCAUUAUUCAUAUGUGCACAAGUGAAGCUUCUAUGCUGCAGGUAAUAAGACAAAUUAAAGCUAACAUGUAACUUAACGUAAGGCAAUAGAGCUUUAUGAAGUUAUAUAAGGCUUAGAGAAAGGGGUCAGUAGUCUUCUCUGAAACUUAUGGGCAACAGAUUGCAUAAAUAAAAGAAAUCUUUUCUUUUCCAA